GUUUACAGCCAUACCACCCUGAACACACCUGAUCUCAUCUGAUCUCAAGAAGCUAAGCAGGGUUGGGCCUGGUUAGCACUUGGAUGGGAGACCACCUGGGAAUACCAGGUGCUCUAAGCU